rnacentral:rRNA from 1 species
GAACCAGACUCCUACGGGAGGCAGCAGUGGGGGAUAUUGCACAAUGGGGGAAACCCUGAUGCAGCGACGCCGCGUGAGUGAAGAAGUAUUUCGGUAUGUAAAGCUCUAUCAGCAGGGAAGAAAAAAGACGGUACCUGACUAAGAAGCCCCGGCUAACUACGUGCCAGCAGCCGCGGUAAUACGUAGGGGGCAAGCGUUAUCCGGAUUUACUGGGUGUAAAGGGAGCGUAGACGGCAGCACAAGUCUGGAGUGAAGUCCCGGGGCUUAACCCCGGAACUGCUUUGGAAACUGUGCGGCUGGAGUGCAGGAGGGGUAAGCGGAAUUCCUAGUGUAGCGGUGAAAUGCGUAGAUAUUAGGAGGAACACCGGUGGCGAAGGCGGCUUACUGGACUGUAACUGACGUCGAGGCUCGAAAGCGUGGGGAGCAAACAGGAUUAGAUACCCUCGUAGC